AGAGUUUGAUCCUGGCUCAGAACGUACGCUGGCGGCACGCCUAACACAUGCAAGUCGAACGAAGUAGCAAUACUUAGUGGCAGACGGGUGAGUAACAUGUAGGUAUCUGCCCUUUGGCCUGGAAUAACACGAGGAAACUUGUGCUAAUACCGGAUAAGUCUUUACGGAGAAAGCUUUAUGCACCAUUGGAUGAGCCUGCACUUGAUUAGUUUGUUGGUGGGGUAAUGGCCUACCAAGACUGUGAUCAAUAGCUGAUUUGAGAGGAUGAUCAGCCACAUUGGGACUGAGACACGGCCCAAACUCCUACGGGAGGCAGCAGUGGGGAAUCUUGCACAAUGGAGGAAACUCUGAUGCAGCGAUGCCGCGUGAGUGAAGAAGGCCCUUGGGUUGUAAAGCUCUUUCGUCGGGGAAGAAAAUGACUGUACCCGAAUAAGAAGGUCCGGCUAACUUCGUGCCAGCAGCCGCGGUAAUACGAAGGGGACCUAGCGUAGUUCGGAAUUACUGGGCUUAAAGAGUUCGUAGGUGGUUGAAAAAGUUGGUGGUGAAAUCCCAGAGCUUAACUCUGGAACUGCCAUCAAAACUUUUCAGCUAGAGUAUGAUAGAGGAAAGCAGAAUUUCUAGUGUAGAGGUGAAAUUCGUAGAUAUUAGAAAGAAUACCAAUUGCGAAGGCAGCUUUCUGGAUCAUUACUGACACUGAGGAACGAAAGCAUGGGUAGCGAAGAGGAUUAGAUACCCUCGUAGUCCAUGCCGUAAACGAUGUGUGUUAGACGUUGGAAAUUUAUUUUCAGUGUCGCAGCGAAAGCGAUAAACACACCGCCUGGGGAGUACGACCGCAAGGUUAAAACUCAAAUGAAUUGACGGGGACCCGCACAAGUAGUGGAGCAUGUGGUUAAAUUCGAAGAUACGCGCAGAACCUUACCAACACUUGACAUGUUCGUCGCGACUCUAAGAGAUUAGAGUUUUCGGUUCGGCCGGACGAAACACAGGUGCUGCAUGGCUGUCGUCAGCUCGUGUCGUGAGAUGUUGGGUUAAGUCCCGCAACGAGCGCAACCCUCACUUUUAGUUGCCAUCAUUAAGUUGGGCACUCUGAAAGAACUGCCAGUGAUAAGCUGGAGGAAGGUGGGGAUGACGUCAAGUCCUCAUGGCCCUUAUGGGCUGGGCUACACACGUGCUACAAUGGCGAUGACAAUGGGCAGCAACCUCGCGAGGGGGAGCUAAUCCUAAAAAGUCGUCUCAGUUCGGAUUGUUCUCUGCAACUCGAGAGCAUGAAGUCGGAAUCGCUAGUAAUCGUGGAUCAGCAUGCCACGGUGAAUACGUUCCCGGGCCUUGUACACACCGCCCGUCACACCAUGGGAGUUGGUUUUACCCGAAGCCGGUGCGCUAACCUUUGAGGCAGCCGACCACGGUAAGAUCAGCGACUGGGGUGAAGUCGUAACAAGGUAACC
rnacentral:rRNA from 1 species